CAGUUCUGGCUACCAAGCUGUCGUCAUCUACUUCAGUCGUGUUUGUGUCUGAGGACAUGCUGCUGGCACCAUUUUGUUUUAUCUGUGCUAGAAGACUGCCUCUUCUCCUUCUGUUCUUGUGCUGAUCGAAGUCGCAGAUUUUCCCUUAACAGGAAAUUCUGCAAUGAAACAGAACGUUAUCCCACGGUAUCCCACAUAUGCCACAUGAAGUCUUCAGAAACUGAUGAGCAGGAAAUGUGCCGACUGAGACCUUGAUAGAACCAGAAUUGGAUAUGCUGGAGAAGUCUUGUUCAGAAAUGCAAUGAUGUUGGUUUUACACAUUUCCAUAUGGAAAGGACCUCUCAGGACAGGACAACCAAGAUGUUACAGCUACCACUCCAGGGCCUGCAGAUGAACCUGUUCAGAAAGAGAUUUGUGAGCUCUGUUGCUGUUUCUUUGCUGGAGUUCAUCAUAUUUGCACGUACACAGGAGCUCAGGCAAGUGAGAAGAUCCAGUCUCUUAGGACUUUGAUUCACUUAGGGAACAGUGCAGUUCUAGUGCAAAGUGGCUGGAGUGAUUACAGUUCUAGAGGAAUUUCUAAAUGCAGAGAAAAAGCUAUCAGUAAUUUUUCCUAAGUGUUAACAAAUAAAUACAAUGCAUGCAAAGUGUGGUUACCUGGGGAAAUUUAGGGAGCUUUAAUCCUCAUCAUGAAAA